rnacentral:lncRNA from 1 species
CUUUAUGGAGAAUUAUGAAGAUAGCCAAAGCUUCACACUUUAUAAUGCCGGGAUAUCAUUCUCAAUUAAGAAAAUAUCAUCCACAUACAGUAUAAAAAAGAUGACCAUAAAACCAUUAGUCCAUUUAUAUACAUAAGGCUCUUCUCCAUUCUUAACGAAGUCAUAUAUUUUGAUUGAUUUAUCAAAAUGCAUGUUCUAACUCUGAGAUACCUGCUUUAAUCU